AUUGAACGCUGGCGGCAGGCCUAACACAUGCAAGUCGAGCGAGCGGCGGACGGGUGAGUAAUGUCUGGGAAACUGCCUGCUGUAGGGGGAUAACUACUGGAAACGGUAGCUAAUACCGCAUACCAUCUGAUGUGCCCAGAUGGGAUUAGCUUGUAGGUGGGGUAAUGGCUCACCUAGGCGACGAUCCCUAGCUGGUCGGAGAGGAUGACCAGCCACACUGGAACUGGGACACGGUCCAGACUCCUACGGGAGGCAGCAGUGGGGAAUAUUGGACAAUGGGGGCAAGCCUGAUGCAGCCAUGCCGCGUGUAUGAAGAAGGCCUUCGGGGUGUAAAGUACUUUCAGCGAGGAGGCGGUACUCGCAGAAGAAGCACCGGCUAACUCCGUGCCAGCAGCCGCGGUAAUUC
rnacentral:rRNA from 1 species